GGGGUAAGGGUGAAAAGGUGCGGUAAGAGCGCACCAGUUCCCUGGGUGACCGGGGAAGCUUUGUAAACCCCACCCGGUGCAAGACCAAAUAGGGGAGUGUUUGAGAGCGGCCCGUUCGAGCUCCCGGGUAGGUCGCAAGAGAUGCCCGGCAACCGGCAUCCAGAGAUGAAUGACCGUUAUCCAGUCCGGGGCAACCCGCAUUGGACACAGAAUUCGGCUUAUUGGUUGCUCGGACCG
rnacentral:RNase_P_RNA from 1 species